AAAUUUGAUAUCUUUUCUAUAUUUAAGUUCUUUUUUUCAUUAUGCAUACUAAUAUUUACUCUCUACUUUAUGUUUUCUUCUAUCUAACGAAAAAUGAUCGAUAGACCAUAUCUAGGUUACAACAACUUUAUAUCAUGUGCUUUUUAUAAGUCUUGUUGUAGUCCGCGUUAUUUAAAUGUUCCAAUGUAUAAAUGAGAAGUAGGAAACCGAAAAGCGUUUAUCAAAACUGACAUGAGGGUCCUUUACAUUCCCAUAGGUAAUAAUGGAGAUGAUUUAAUCUGCUUUUAUGACAUUUUCGUUGUUAUUCCCUAGUGAAUUCCUUUAAUUAUUGAGAUAACGGCUUAUUUCGUUUCGUUGAUGAAAAAAUUGUCCUUAUAGUAGAGAUGAGAAACUAUUGGUUGUCACAGUUGAUUAAUGUUCCAGGACUCCUGAAACCAACUGUCUGUCAUUAUUAUGGCUGGUCUAUAUUCAAUUUUUUUUUAUAAAAAAUUAAUUGUGGAGACAUUUUAAAAUAAUAAUUUUUAUGAUCAAGAUUCAUUACAAAUAACUAUGAAAUUUAUAACAAAAUGGUAACAAUUAUCAAUCUUACAGUGUGGAAAAGAUGGGAUAUACCAAAGAGAUAGAGAAGAGAUAUACCAAAAUCACGUCCAAAGAUAAUGUGGAGGCGAACAGUAUUUACCGAAACAUUCAAAUUGUUUAACGAGCUUUGAUAUAUGGCACAGAAUAGAGACAACUGGAAACUUUUUGUAGAAGACUAAGUUUCUCGACAUGCAAUAAGUUUCUAAAUGUUUGUACUUUUGGAACAUGUCAUAAUAUAUAUAAUAUAUGACCAAAAUAUCACAAAGUAAAUCGAAGAAUUGGUUUGAUUUCAAGAAUGGCCGGAUGUACGUCCCGGAGCCACUUGUCGACUUCGACGAAAAGACGAAAAAAAAGACGAAAGAAACACAUCCCAGCGGGCUACUACUUUGUGUAGAUUUGGUCUAGCGAUUUUACUAUGUGUAGAGAAGGUGUUUUGUAGGAAUUAAUGGAAUUCUGUAUCGUUUUUAUGUUUAUGUCAAAUUGUUGAUGGCUAAAUAUGCUGUAAAUUCAUCUUGCACCUGUGUCUAUAUUUAUUCAAGUUCAAAUAAUGUCCAAAAAGGGUUAUUGAAAAAGCUUUUACAGAUAUUGCAAAAUACUGACGAGCUUCACAUGUGGAAACUAGAUCAAAUAUUAAUGAUAAUCUAAAAUGUGAUAUUAAAAUUACAAUACCAAAACUGUGAUUAUGGCUUUAUCAAUUCAAUUGUUUAAAUGUUUUCUGUCGUUGGAGCUGUAGCCCGUGGGGAUGUGUAGUCCCUUUGGAGGAUGGUGGAUGGCAUUUAAUCGGCGAAGUUAAUGAGUUACUUCGGGACAUAGACCCUUGGAGCUUUAAAGUUUAUCUAUGGUGUCCUAAUUUCUAGCUAAAAGUAUUGAUAGUUACCGUCAAAUAGAACAAUAUGAAAGAGGCUUUUCUUUAGUACAACCGGCAAAUUAAAUUAAAUCUUUUAUUGAAACUUUAAGGUCAUAGAAAGGAGUAAACAAUAAUAAUAAAUAAUUUAACUUUCUGUUUAACUAACAGUUAUUUUUAGUGCAUAAAAUAAU